AGCGAACGCUGGCGGCGGGCCUAACACAUGCAAGUCGAACGAAGUCUUCGGACUUAGUGGCGGACGGGUGAGUAACACGUGGGAACGUACCUUUUGGUUCGGAAUAACUGAGGGAAACUUCAGCUAAUACCGGAUAAGCUCUUCGGAGGAAAGAUUUAUCGCCAUUAGAGCGGCCCGCGUUGGAUUAGGUAGUUGGUGUGGUAAAGGCGCACCAAGCCUACGAUCCAUAGCUGGUCUGAGAGGAUGAUCAGCCACACUGGGACCGAGACACGGCCCAGACUCCUACGGGAGGCAGCAGUGGGGAAUCUUGCGCAAUGGUCGAAAGACUGACGCAGCCAUGCCGCGUGAAUGAUGAAGGUCUUAGGAUUGUAAAAUUCUUUUAGCAGGGACGAUAAUGACGGUACCUGCAGAAAAAGCCCCGGCUAACUUCGUGCCAGCAGCCGCGGUAA
rnacentral:rRNA from 1 species